rnacentral:rRNA from 1 species
GGACUUCCUGUCUUUAUGACACUCCGUAAGGAGGGGUAACCCGGGGAAUUGAAACAUCUUAGUACCUGGAGGAAGAGAAAUCAAUUGAGAUACCGUUAGUAAAGGCGAUCGAAAGCGGUAUAAGGCAAACCGAAUGCUCUUCUGAAAGGAAGAGUAGAUGUGGAGUUAGGACUUUUUCCAAUGCUUUCUGUCUGAAUCCAAAUGUUCUGGAAUGAACUGCCAAAGAGGGUGAUAGUCCCGUAGGAGUAAGGACAGAUGCUACGAGGAGAAGUAUCCAGAGUACCGUACGUCGUAAUUCGUGCGGGAAUAUGGGUGGCACUUACAUCCAACCUUAAAUACUCCCCAAAUCCGAUAGCGAACAAGUAGCGUGAGCGAAAACUGAAAAGAAACCCGGAAGGGUAGUGAAAAGUACCUGAAACCAGGCAGUGAUAAACUUAUAGGGCACUAAAGGGAUGAUGCCGCUAAUCACGGUGGACCGGUGUUCUAUUGUCCGUGUUGAAGAACGGGCCAGGGAGUUUCG